GACGAACGCUGGCGGCAUGCUUAACACAUGCAAGUCGAACGGAAAGGCCCUGCUUUUGUGGGGUGCUCGAGUGGCGAACGGGUGAGUAACACGUGAGUAACCUGCCCUUGGCUUUGGGAUAACUUCAGGAAACUGGGGCUAAUACCGGAUAGGAGCUCCUGCUGCAUGGUGGGGGUUGGAAAGUUUCGGCGGUUGGGGAUGGACUCGCGGCUUAUCAGCUUGUUGGUGGGGUAGUGGCUUACCAAGGCUUUGACGGGUAGCCGGCCUGAGAGGGUGACCGGCCACAUUGGGACUGAGAUACGGCCCAGACUCCUACGGGAGGCAGCAGUGGGGAAUAUUGCACAAUGGGCGGAAGCCUGAUGCAGCAACGCCGCGUGCGGGAUGACGGCCUUCGGGUUGUAAACCGCUUUCGCCUGUGACGAAGCGUGAGUGACGGUAAUGGGUAAAGAAGCACCGGCUAACUACGUG
rnacentral:rRNA from 1 species